UAUGUGGAGCAUGAGAAGAAGCAAGGCUAACUUUGCUAGACUAAUAAACGUGCUCUCUGGUGUGGUUGACAUGGGUCGGUGGCUGGAGUCUAUACGCAAUUGGCACAAACCGGUGUACUCAGCCUUGUUUCUUCUAGUUUUCCUGCUGCUAAUAGCAAUGCCUGAGCUCAUUAUUCCUACCAUAUUGCUUUACAUGGCAUUUCUGGGGCUUUGGCGAUAUCGGUCAAGGCCACGGCACCCACCCUAUAUGGAUACAAGGCUUUCUUAUGCUGAGAAUGUUUAUCUUGACGAAUUGAAUGAGGAAUUCGAUUCCUUCCCAACUAGUCGAAGUGCGGAGAUAGUAAGAAUGAGGUAUGAUCGGUUGAGGAGUGUGGCAGGGAGGAUUCAGACAGUGGUCGGUGAUAUGGCUACACAGGGUGAACGUGCCCAAGCACUGCUAAGUUGGAGAGAUCCAAGAGCCACAUUCUUGUUUGCUGUUACGUGUUUGUUUGCAGCUGUUGGAUUCUAUGCUGUGCCUAUCAGGGUUGUGGUGGCCUUCUGGUGGCUGUACAUGCUGAGGCCGCCAAGGUUUAGGAACAGGUUGCCUUGCAGGGCUUUGAAUUUCUUCAGGAGGUUGCCUGCCAAGGCUGAUAGUUUGUUGUAGAGUGAUGAUUUUUAAUAUGUAAUGUGGAAGUGCAAGGUUCAAGUGGAAAUUUGGAGCAUGACAGCAUGUUUCAAAUAUAUUUUACAUAAUUUAUAAUUAAUUUGUUUUAAUUGAUAUAUAACAAAAUAAAUAUACUAAAAAUUAAUCAUAUACUAAAAAUUAUAAUAA
rnacentral:misc_RNA from 1 species